rnacentral:rRNA from 1 species
GUGAAGCUGGAUUCGCUAGUAAUCGCGCAUCAGCCAUGGCGCGGUGAAUACGUUCCCGGGCCUUGUACACACCGCCCGUCAAGCCAUGGGAGCCGGGGGUGCUUGAAGUGCGUCGCCGCAAGGCGCGCCCUAGAGCAAAACCGGUGACUGGGGCUAAGUCGUAACAAGGUAUC